GAUGAACGCUAGCGGCAGGCCUAACACAUGCAAGUCGAGGGAGAAGCCCUUUCGGGGGCAGAAACCGGCGCACGGGUGCGUAACGCGUAUGCAACCUACCUUUCACAGGGGGAUAGCCCGAAGAAAUUUGGAUUAAUACCCCAUAAUAUUAUUGGAUGGCAUCAUUUGAUAAUUAAAACUGCGGUGGUGAAAGAUGGGCAUGCGUCCUAUUAGCUAGUUGGAGUGGUAACGGCACCCCAAGGCUACGAUAGGUAGGGGUCCUGAGAGGGAGAUCCCCCACACUGGUACUGGGACAGGGACCAGACUCCUACGGGAGGCAGCAGUGAGGAAUAUUGGUCAAUGGUCGGAAGACUGAACCAGCCAUGCCGCGUGCAGGAAGAAUGCCUUAUGGGUUGUAAACUGCUUUUAUAUGGGAAGAAUAAGGCGUACGUGUACGUUGAUGACGGUACCAUAUGAAUAAGCAUCGGCUAACUACGUG
rnacentral:rRNA from 1 species